AGUGCUCAUCACACUGUGAUACAGUUACUUACUAAUAUCUUUUUCUACUCAAUUUUCUGUGCACUCACAGAAGGCAGAAACUGUACCUUUCAUUUCCAUGAUUCUCAUGGAUAAAGCCCUCAAUAAAUGUUUGCCAGAUGAAUGACUUGCCCAAGGUCACACUGCUAAUAUAUGGCAGAACCGGGACCAGAACCAAGACCUCCGACUCCCCAGAUCCCAUAUCCUUGCUGUUCUCCUGGGAUGUUUUCUGGAAGAAAAUGAGCUGUGGGCCUAAAAAGAAGCCAAUCAAGCAUUUGGCAGGUACCAUGGACUAAAUCUUCAAGCAUUAAGAAACAGCAUUCAUUCCCACUCAUUUCCACACCAGCCUUUGAUUCGAUGCAGAUACAUAUUAUAGUAGCAUGCCUUACCUACAGCAUUAUGUGUAUUUGCUGUCACAAUAAAGUAUAUCUUGUCUUGCAAAUUAAAAACACACACACGGCUGGGCGUGGUGGCUCAUGCCUGUAAUCCCAGAACUUUGGGAGGCUGAGGUGGGUGGAUCACGAGGUCAGGAGAUCAAGACCAUCCUGGCUAACACGGUGAAACGCCAUCUCU
rnacentral:lncRNA from 10 species